UCACUGGGAUGUCAACAACGAGCUACUUCACGGGAACUUCUAUGAAAGCAAGACAGGAGAUGAUCACUACACACAACACAUGUUUAGGACAGUACACUCACUGGACCCCACCCCAAAACUUUUCCUCAAUGACUAUAGUGUCGUGGCCAAUGGCGAGUACACUCUGGCUUAUCUUUCACAAAUCCAACAAUUCAAAGCUGCCAACGUUGGACUCGGGGGUGUCGG
rnacentral:sRNA from 1 species